GUUGAUGUUUUCCAAUUUAAGUAAAGACCAAAUAAACUAACUUUGGCUCUAUAUUAACUCCGAUUUUGUUUGAAAAUUUCAAGGUCAUAUUCGGCGUGAUGUACGGCAUAAUUGUUUUUGUUUUCACGCUAAAAGUUGUGAGCUCGACAAUUGUUGGCGAUCAUUACUAUCAAAGUGAAGGGGAAGAUGACAUCGAACUCCAAGAGAGGUGGAGUCUCUUUGAAGACUGGAUGUCCCUUCAGUUUGUCAUACCACAGCCCUCCAGCUCUUUCGGACGCCGUUGUUCUGUAUACAGCAAAUACGCCUGUCUGAACAAGUUUGAGUUUCUGGAGGAGCAAACAUCUAGAGUUAACAGAGCGCUAGAUAUGAGAGUUUUCGGAUCGCUUGUUAGACCAGUCUACAGAAAGUACAACUUCUUCUCAC